UACGAAGGUCCCAAGCGUUGUUCGGAAUCACUGGGCGUAAAGGGAGCGUAGGCGGCGUGGUAAGUCAGAUGUGAAAUCCCGGGGCUCAACCCCGGAACUGCAUCCGAUACUGCCAUGCUUGAGGGUUGGAGAGGUAGCUGGAAUUCUCGGUGUAGCAGUGAAAUGCGUGGAUAUCGAGAGGAACACUCGUGGCGAAGCGAGCUACUGGACAACAUCUGACGCUGAGGCUCGAAGGCUAGGGGAGCAAACAGG
rnacentral:rRNA from 1 species